UGGAGACAACCGCCUGUCCGUGUCCUGGCGUCCAGAACUAGCCAUGUGUGGUACUCAUCUUACAGCCGUGAGAGUGGGGCCACCUUCAGAAUCCACAGCACCGAAGGACUUGUUCACGUGUCGAAGUGAGAGGUCAAAGAGGACCUCAGGAUUUUAGCUGGUGACUAGGACAAGUGGAGUGGGUCUUACAGCGAGUGAAAUACAUGGGCAGAGUUCAGAAAGAUUCCUUAGAGGAAGACAUAACAUGCAGAAAUACUUCCUCCCACAGAAAAUAUAGAGAAACAAGAGGCAUGGAAGAGGCUCCAUGGAAAUACGAUAACGUUAUAGCCACCAGAGGGAUCUGACACUGACUCCUGCGCCGAGACAGCACACAGAACCAGCACAUGUGAGACCCAACUGAGGACGCAGCUGGACUUACCGAUAUCGAAAAACUCAAAGGCAUCUUAUGGCCCAUUGCCAUGAGUGAGGACUUAGUUGAUGACUCCAUAGCUAAAGCUACUGACUAGGCUAGGAUGUAAUAGCCCUGGAGAUUGCACUGGGAAAAAAACGACUGCUGGUGUCUUAGGAACGUUGUAUCAUCGAAUGACAAGACAUACCUUCAGCCUGCUAAACUGAUUUUCUGUGUGGAACUGGGCAGCCUAAAGAAACUCACGGAAUAUUGGAAACUGAUUCAGACUUAAAUUAAAAAUGACUGGCGAAUGUGCCCUUUUCGACAAGGGUAUUGAUGGGAAUUAGGCCAUUGGUCAGAUUGUCUGUGAAGACUGUGGAGACUCUUCCUGGCUGUGUUGCCAGGAGCCAUUUCCCUAUUCACAGUGGCCAAAAUAUUGAUCCGAUCCUUGUAAAGCAGUGUUGUAUCCUUCACAGGCGUCUAAUGGUGAGAUUAAAUCAUAACUUUCCCCGCAUCAAGACAUUUGGCCAUCUGCCAGGAUCGUCCCUGCCGACGGAGUCCACAGCGCAUUUGAGAUGCACAUCCCUUGUGUCCGUAGCUGAGUCCACGUUAGAGUAAGGCCUGCGAUCCGAAAGCCAGUAAGACUCAGCUUGAAAGUGGUCCUCGAUGAAUUUCACAUCCUACACCCCCAAAUCUUGAUUAUCUUCUUGCAUUUAAUUGCAGUUGUAUUUAUGCCCCAGCGCGCUCCGUGGUGCGUGACCGAUCCUGCGGCUCGCAUGAGUAGCAGCUUCCCGCACCUCGAGGCUUGGCGGGCGACUGCGGGUCCCCAGCAGAGCGGGGGAAGCAAGGCCUCUGCAAGACUCGCUUACCCAGAGAGACUCUGGAAGCUCUGCUUUGCUUUGACAAGUAAAAGGGUUUAUUUGGCCAAUUGAUGUUCUUAUAAAUGAGAAAAACUAUCAGAGAAGAGGAACCAGAAAAGGAGGUAGCAGAUUUGAGAACCGUCACUCUGGAGGCCGGUUGAAGAACGGCCUGGGGACGGAGAGGGCUUGGGUCAAGUUCACUAGUGCACAGUGGCAGUGAGAGCGGCUUCGAAAAGACGGUUGGACUGGAGGGAGUUUUUGAAAAUAUCAGAUACCGCUAACAAGAUCCUGUGUAUCUGGUGUACAGACAGUGUUCUCUAAGUUUCAGUUUUGGGAAAUACAAGUAGAUAGAUGGUGAUAUAAUUGACCAAGAGAAAAAACACACCGGGUGGGAGGAGCAGAGAAGAGGAGGGGAUUUUGACGGACGACCAGUUUGUGUUUGAGCUGCUCACAUAUGGGUUAGAGAUAAGAGAGGGGACAUUAGGAUGGGUGAAAGGAGUCACCUGCACAUUUAUCAAGAAAGAGAGGGACAUGAAGGGUCUGCUACCAUUGACAGCAGGAAUUGUCAGCCAUGGCAACUGGACACCAGUGGAUUUGCAUCAAUUCAAUAGUGAGGGGAAACAUCGACGUCCAAAGUCAAGGAGUAAAUUGUCAGUGAGGAAUUAGAGAACUAUGGAGGCUAUUCUUUCAAAAAGUCUGUUUGAAAAGGAAGAAACAUGAGAAAAAGUAGGAUGGAACAGCAUUUUGGUUCAGGAAUCCUGUGCAUCUUAUAGGCUGAAGGAAAACAGCAGUGGAGUUAUGGUAUGUAUUUGGUCAGAGGAGAAAAAUGUGAACCUUGAGGCAGCAUCUAGGAUGGGGUAAGAAGGAGGAAUGUUUAAGAUCUGAAGACUACAUUAAGCUUAGACAAGAGCAUGGAGACCCCCUUCAGUUUAGUAGAGUUGUCAAAGAUAAGAAUGGAAACAGAUAACAGGAAGCUUUUUCAGUGAUGGAAAAGGAGAGAGUAUUAAAUUUUACAAAAACUGAGCUUGUUUUUAAAUA